AGGUGGACUGCAGUUGGGGAACAGGAUGCCAAGAAGAGGACACCAACUCGGACUUCGACUUGGAGGAUCCACAAAGAUGAGCUGGUGACACAUAGAAACAGUCAAAGAACGAACUGCAAGGAUCCCUUAUGAAGUUUUUGCUGUGACUCAAAAAGGAUUCUACGAGUCGUAAUUGUCAAUUAGCUAUUCGAGUUUAUUCGGUGUUUCUGGUCGGACUGGUAAACUUGUACACGAUUUGUAAGCGAUCAAUUACCAACAGAUCUUAUCAGAAGAGCUCCCCAGAACAACCCAGAACAGUGGCAAUUAGACUGCCGAUCCUAGUUCCCGAGAUUGAUAGUACUCGGACUGUCAACUCGCGCUCUUAUGCUUAGAUUACCUCGUUUCGAUACACAUACAUUUCGAUUAAACUGUCAAUUCAUUUUAAUUACAAGA
rnacentral:lncRNA from 1 species